ACACUCCUGCAUUCCCUACUCCUUGUUCCAGCUAUUCUUAGGACCAAAAUUGCUGAGAGCUCUGCCAGCAGUUACUGGCCUUGAUUGGGAAACGAGAAGAUUCUGGGCACAAUGAUCUGGGCUCUAUGUAAGUAGGCUCAGAUGCUUGCUGCCCAUCCUGGGGCUAACCUCUCUGGGAAGGUGUGACUUCUCAGGAGUCUGCUUUCUUCUGAGAAGAGGAGGAGGAGGAGACGGAGAAAAAUGGCCCUUUCGUUUCUAAAGGUGAUAUCACAGGAGUCAGUGAAAUUAAGAGAUGUGGCUGUGAUCUUUUCUCCGGACCAGUGGGCUUGUCUGAACCCUGAAGAAAGACAAUUGUAUAAGGAUGUGAUGCUGGAUAACUGUGAUUAUCUCGUGUCUUUGGGACACUGGACUUAUAAGGCAGAAGUGAUAUCCACUUUGAAGAAAGGGAAGGACAUCUGGAUGAUGGAGAAAGAGGUGAUGAGUGCUCCAUGCCCAGGU